CCGUCAAUUCAUUUAAGUUUUAGUCUUGCGACCGUACUCCCCAGGCGGUCUACUUAUCGCGUUAGCUGCGCCACUAAAGCCUCAAAGGCCCCAACGGCUAGUAGACAUCGUUUACGGCAUGGACUACCAGGGUAUCUAAUCCUGUUUGCUCCCCAUGCUUUCGUACCUCAGCGUCAGUAUUAGGCCAGAUGGCUGCCUUCGCCAUCGGUAUUCCUCCAGAUCUCUACGCAUUUCACCGCUACACCUGGAAUUCUACCAUCCUCUCCCAUACUCUAGCUUCCCAGUAUCGAAUGCAAUUCCUAAGUUAAGCUCAGGGAUUUCACAUCCGACUUAAAAAGCCGCCUACGCACGCUUUACGCCCAGUAAAUCCGAUUAACGCUCGCACCCUCUGUAUUACCGC
rnacentral:misc_RNA from 1 species